rnacentral:rRNA from 1 species
UACAGAGGUGGCAAGCGUUGUUCGGAAUUACUGGGCGUAAAGGGCGCGUAGGCGGCCUUCUAAGUCAGACGUGAAAUCCCCCGGCUUAACCUGGGAACUGCGUCUGAUACUGGAAGGCUUGAGUGCGGGAGAGGGAUGUGGAAUUCCAGGUGUAGCGGUGAAAUGCGUAGAUAUCGAGAGGAACACCUGCGGCGAAGGCGGGUUGCUGGGCUGACACUGACGCUGAUGCGCGAAAGCCAGGGGAGCGAACGGG